rnacentral:sRNA from 1 species
GUAGGGAAUUUUCCACAAUGGGCGAAAGCCUGAUGGAGCGACACAGCGUGCAGGAUGAAGGCCUUCGGGUUGUAAACUGCUGUUAUUUAGGAUGAAAAAAUAAUAGAGGAAAUGCUAUUAUCUUGACAGUACUAAAUCAGAAAGCAACGGCUAACUAUGUGCCAGCAGCCGCGGUAAUACAUAGGUUGCAAGCGUUAUCCGGAAUUAUUGGGCGUAGAGCGUUUGUAGGUUGUUAGUUAAGUCUGGCGUCAAAACUUGGGGCUCAACCCCAAAUCGCGUUGGAUACUGGCUAACUAGAAUUGUGUAGAGGUUAACGGAAUUCCUUGUGAAGCGGUGAAAUGCGUAGAUAUAAGGAAGAACAUCAACUUGGCGAAGGCAGUUAACUGGGCACAUAUUGACACUGAGAGACGAAAGCGUGGGGAGCAAACAGGAUUAGAUACCCUGGUAGUCCACGCCGUAAACGAUGAUGAUUAGCUGAUGGGAACCAUCGGCGCAGCUAACGCAUUAAAUCAUCCGCCUGGGUAGUAUGCUCGCAAGAGUGAAACUUAAAGGAAUUGACGGGGAUCCGCACAAGCGGUGGAGCAUGUGGUUUAAUUUGAAGAUACGCGUAGAACCUUACCCACUCUUGACAUCUUCUGCAAAGCUAUAGAGAUAUAGUGGAGGUUAACAGAAUGACAGAUGGUGCAUGGUUGUCGUCAGCUCGUGUCGUGAGAUGUUCGGUUAAGUCCUGCAACGAGCGCAACCCUUAUCCUUAGUUAAAUAUCCUAAGGAGACUGCCCGGGUAACUGGGAGGAAGGUGGGGACGACGUCAAAUCAUCAUGCCUCUUACGAGUGGGGCAACACACGUGCUACAAUGGAAGGUACAAAGAGAAGCAAUAUGGCGACAUGGAGCAAAUCUCAAAAAACCUUUCUCAGUUCGGAUUGUAGUCUGCAACUCGACUACAUGAAGUCGGAAUCGCUAGUAAUCGUAGAUCAGCUACGCUACGGUGAAUACGUUCUCGGGUCUUGUACACACCGCCCGUCACACCAUGGGAGCUGGUAAUGCCCGAAGUCGGUUUAGUCAACUACGGAGACAACUGCCUAAGGCAGGACUGGUGACUGGGGUGAAGUCGUAACAAGGUAUCCCUACGAGAACGUGGGGAUGGAUUACCUCCUUUCUACGGAGUACACAUAAUAACAAUUUAUUGUUACUUUAAUUACCUUUUUUAUAAAACAAAUAAUUUUGUCAUGGGAUAUAUCUAGUUUUGAGAGAACUUUCUCUCUAUGUUCUUUGAAAACUGAAUAGUAAAGAUAUUAAUAUAACAACGACAUCAAAAAAUAAAUUAAUUAGUCAAUUUGUUUUGUGAUACCGAGAAAUUAUUAGAAAUAAUAAUUCGUUAAAAUGUCUUUGAAUACAUCAACAACAAUAGGAAAAUAUUGUUACAACUUUUAAAUAAGUA